UGCAGUCGAACGAUGAUGCCCAGCUUGCUGGGCGGAUUAGUGGCGAACGGGUGAGUAAUACGUGAGUAACCUGCCCUUGACUCUGGGAUAAGCCUGGGAAACUGGGUCUAAUACUGGAUACUACCUCUUACCGCAUGGUGGGUGGUGGAAAGGGUUUUACUGGUUUUGGAUGGGCUCACGGCCUAUCAGCUUGUUGGUGGGGUAAUGGCUCACCAAGGCGACGACGGGUAGCCGGCCUGAGAGGGUGACCGGCCACACUGGGACUGAGACACGGCCCAGACUCCUACGGGAGGCAGCAGUGGGGAAUAUUGCACAAUGGGCGGAAGCCUGAUGCAGCGACGCCGCGUGAGGGAUGACGGCCUUCGGGUUGUAAACCUCUUUCAGUAGGGAAGAAGCGAGAGUGACGGUACCUGCAGAAGAAGCGCCGGCUAACUACGUGCCAGCAGCCGCGGUAAUACGUAGGGCGCAAGCGUUGUCCGGAAUUAUUGGGCGUAAAGAGCUCGUAGGCGGUUUGUCGCGUCUGCUGUGAAAGCCCGGGGCUCAACCCCGGGUCUGCAGUGGGUACGGGCAGACUAGAGUGCAGUAGGGGAGACUGGAAUUCCUGGUGUAGCGGUGAAAUGCGCAGAUAUCAGGAGGAACACCGAUGGCGAAGGCAGGUCUCUGGGCUGUUACUGACGCUGAGGAGCGAAAGCAUGGGGAGCGAACAGGAUUAGAUACCCUGGUAGUCCAUGCCGUAAACGUUGGGCACUAGGUGUGGGGGACAUUCCACGUUUUCCGCGCCGUAGCUAACGCAUUAAGUGCCCCGCCUGGGGAGUACGGCCGCAAGGCUAAAACUCAAAGGAAUUGACGGGGGCCCGCACAAGCGGCGGAGCAUGCGGAUUAAUUCGAUGCAACGCGAAGAACCUUACCAAGGCUUGACAUUCACCGGACCGCCCCAGAGAUGGGGUUUCCCUUCGGGGCUGGUGGACAGGUGGUGCAUGGUUGUCGUCAGCUCGUGUCGUGAGAUGUUGGGUUAAGUCCCGCAACGAGCGCAACCCUCGUUCUAUGUUGCCAGCACGUGAUGGUGGGGACUCAUAGGAGACUGCCGGGGUCAACUCGGAGGAAGGUGGGGAUGACGUCAAAUCAUCAUGCCCCUUAUGUCUUGGGCUUCACGCAUGCUACAAUGGCCGGUACAAAGGGUUGCGAUACUGUGAGGUGGAGCUAAUCCCAAAAAGCCGGUCUCAGUUCGGAUUGAGGUCUGCAACUCGACCUCAUGAAGUCGGAGUCGCUAGUAAUCGCAGAUCAGCAACGCUGCGGUGAAUACGUUCCCGGGCCUUGUACACACCGCCCGUCAAGUCACGAAAGUUGGUAACACCCGAAGCCGGUGGCCUAACCCCUUGUGGGAGGAGCC
rnacentral:rRNA from 1 species